GGCUUUCCCUUCGGGGACAGAGUGACAGGUGGUGCAUGGUUGUCGUCAGCUCGUGUCGUGAGAUGUUGGGUUAAGUCCCGCAACGAGCGCAACCCUUGAUCUUAGUUGCCAGCAUUCAGUUGGGCACUCUAAGGUGACUGCCGGUGACAAACCGGAGGAAGGUGGGGAUGACGUCAAAUCAUCAUGCCCCUUAUGACCUGGGCUACACACGUGCUACAAUGGACAGAACAAAGGGCUGCGAGACCGCAAGGUUUAGCCAAUCCCACAAAUCUGUUCUCAGUUCGGAUCGCAGUCUGCAACUCGACUGCGUGAAGCUGGAAUCGCUAGUAAUCGCGGAUCAGCAUGCCGCGGUGAAUACGUUCCCGGGUCUUGUACACACC
rnacentral:rRNA from 1 species